UACGAAGGGGGCUAGCGUUGUUCGGAAUUACUGGGCGAAAGCGCACGUAGGCGACUAUUAAGUCAGGGGUGAAAUCCCGGGGCUCAACCCCGGAACUGCCUUUGAUACUGGUAGUCUCGAAGUCCGGAAGAGGUGAGUGGAAUUCCGAGUGUAGAGGUGAAAUUCGUAGAUAUUCGGAGGAACACCAGUGGCGAAGGCGGCUCACUGGUCCGGUACUGACGCUGAGGUGCGAAAGCGUGGGGAGCAAACAGG
rnacentral:rRNA from 1 species